GCCAGGCAUGGUGGCUUAUGCCUGUAAUCCCAGCACUUUGGGAGGCCAAGGCAGGUGGAUCGCUUGAGGUCAGGAGUUCAAGAACAGCCUGGCCAACAUGGCAAAACCCUGUCUCUACUAAAAAUUAGCCGGGUGUGGUGGCACAUGCCUGUAAUUUCAGCUACUUGGGAGGCUGAGGCAGGAGAAUCACUUGAGACCAGGAGGUGGAGAUUGCAGUGAGCUGAGAUCAUGCCGCUGUACUCCAGCCUGGGCAAUGAAGCGAAACUCCGUCUC
rnacentral:sRNA from 1 species